rnacentral:rRNA from 1 species
AUACGGAGGAUGCAAGCGUUAUCCGGAUUUAUUGGGUUUAAAGGGUGCGUAGGCGGAUGAUUAAGCGUGAGGUGAAAUGCCACUGCUCAACAGUGGAACUGCCUCGCGAACUGGUUGUCUUGAAUGCUCCUGCCGUGGGAGGAAUGUGUGGUGUAGCGGUGAAAUGCAUAGAGAUCACACAGAACACCGAUUGCGAAGGCAUCUCACGAAGGGGUGAUUGACGCUGAGGCACGAAAGCGUGGGGAUCAAACAGGAUUAGAUACCCUGGAAGUCCACGCAGUAAACGAUGAUAACUAACCGCUGGGUCGUAGUGAUUCAGUGGCCAAGCGAAAGCGAUAAGUUAUCCACCUGGGGAGUACGACCGCAAGGUUGAAACUCAAAUGAAUUGGCGGGG